AUCAUGUAUCAAACCUACUCGGUGAAUGAGUCUUCAACAAUAGGCGGUUGCCAAAGUUUUUGUAAAGAUUACGCUGUACAUCAGUAUUGUUGGUGGAAUUGGUUUGUGAUAUAUACAUAUACAGGGUGUCUCAGAAAGAGUGUAAGCGGUUUAAGGGGGUAAUAGCUGGGCUGAGGUGAUGCUAAACAUUUUCCUUUGCGAAAAUGUUGUUUAAAACUUCGUUUUUGAAUUAUUAAGGGAAAAUUUAAAAAAAAAUUUAAAUAAACGAAUCAUUU